rnacentral:rRNA from 1 species
GGGAAACGGCAUUAAGUGCUUGCACUUUUUGGACGUCGACCGGCGCACGGGUGAGUAACGCGUAUCCAACCUUCCCAUGACUAAGGGAUAACCUGCCGAAAGGCAGACUAAUACCUUAUGGUCUUCACUGACGGCAUCAGAUGUGAAGUAAAGAUUUAUCGGUUAUGGAUGGGGAUGCGUCUGAUUAGCUUGUUGGCGGGGUAACGGCCCACCAAGGCAACGAUCAGUAGGGGUUCUGAGAGGAAGGUCCCCCACAUUGGAACUGAGACACGGUCCAAACUCCUACGGGAGGCAGCAGUGAGGAAUAUUGGUCAAUGGGCGAGAGCCUGAACCAGCCAAGUAGCGUGCAGGAAGACGGCCCUAUGGGUUGUAAACUGCUUUUGUAUGGGGAUAAAGUCAAUCACGUGUGAUUGUUUGCAGGUACCAUACGAAUAAGGACCGGCUAAUUCCGUGCCAGCAUCCGCGGUAAUACGGAAGGUCCGGGCGUUAUCCGGAUUUAUUGGGUUUAAAGGGAGCGUAGGCUGGAGAUUAAGUGUGUUGUGAAAUGUAGACGCUCAACGUCUGACUUGCAGCGCAUACUGGUUUCCUUGAGUACGCACAACGUUGGCGGAAUUCGUCGUGUAGCGGUGAAAUGCUUAGAUAUGACGAAGAACUCCGAUUGCGAAGGCAGCUGACGGGAGCGCAACUGACGCUGAAGCUCGAAGGUGCGGGUAUCGAACAGGAUUAGAUACCCUGGUAGUCCGCACAGUAAACGAUGGAUGCCCGCUGUUGGUACCUGGUAUCAGCGGCUAAGCGAAAGCAUUAAGC